rnacentral:lncRNA from 1 species
ACUACAGCAGAGGCUGUUUUGGAGCGGGCAGAUGAGCUUGGCCACUCUCGGCGGUCCGUGUGCUCCAGACUCGCAGACUGUCCAGGACUGGAGAUGUUCAUGGGUCCUUUUAGUACGCGUUUUCCUUUUGUACCUGUUCAUGGCCCGCUGGCCAGGCAUUUCUGCAGUCGCUUUUUAAACUUGCCAACGCAGCCUGCCUCCACCAUCUCCUGUGGCAAUAACAAGACAAUAUUGGUUAGUGUCUCAGCAAACCAUGACCUAGCAGUCUCUAAACAGCUGUACGCUUCGACAAAAAGCAAGCUUUAAAAGGGAUGUUACCAGACAGCUGUGAAAAGAAUUAGAGUGCCACCAAAGGCUCUGGUGUGAAGACGUCUGUGUGAUCCUGCGAAGGGCAGGUGAUGGAGCCUGGCAUCGGUGGCCAACUGAAGGCAAGGAACUGAAGCUGCUCUAACAAAUGACAAUGGGUAGCGUAAGGACAUAACCAAGAGCAAAGCAGAGCACAGAGUCAUUCUCCAGCCGUCAUCUCAUGCUGUAAUUACCUGACUCAGCCUGAUAAACUAGUAGAAAAAACAACCCUGAAGAUGAGCUUUCUGAUGAUUUAGUGAAGCGAACUGGAGCACCACGGGGUGAGCUCAGCACCGGAGCUGGCACAGGGGGAGCAAGGCAGCAGCGUCCCGUUCAUUUCAGUGCCAGCUGGCCACUGGAAUCGCUCAGCUGUUCUGGGAGACUUCGCCCUCAGUGGACAAAUGCAAACGGGUUUGUGAAAUAUUCAAAAUAAUAAUCAUAAAAAAAGAUCUUUGGAGUAGCGCUCUUACCAAAGCUGGAUGACACUAAGAACACAUUUGUUUAGGCCAGAAAAUGCCACAGUAAUUAAGAUAGAAGAUAAUUAGAAUUUGAGUAAGCGUGCUAAUCGCUUGGAGGAACGGUAGAAGCCUGGCGAUGCUCCCCAGAACAACGGCUGAGCGUGGGACGUGGCCGAGCCCCAGCCCCAAGGGUGCGAUCCCGGUUACGGCCCUGGGUGCAGGUGUGGUGUCGGCGAUGCCAGCCGAGACUGAGAGCCCCGCUGAGCCGCACGCCCGGGGGUGUCGCAGAGACGCGGACGCGGCUUUAGUCUGGCCGGGCUCCUCCCAGCCGCACCCCGAGCACCGCACAGCGCAGGGGCUCCCGGCCGCAGGACCCGGCCCUUUCCGGCCCCCGGAGCUGGGCUGGCGCCGCGGGACGCCUGAGGGGAGCCGCGCGGGGCAGAUUUUUGGACAAGUGGGGAAAGACAUAAAAAGCAACAAUAAAAAUAAAAAAGGGGAAAAAACAAAAAAAAAAAAAAAAAAGCUUUGGAGCAAGAUUGUACCAAGGAAAGAAAACUGCAAAGAAACCU